rnacentral:rRNA from 1 species
CUGUGUCCAAAACUAUCUAACUAGAGCAUAGUAGAGGCAAGUGGAAUUUCUGGUGUAGGAGUGACAUCCGUAGAUAUCAGAAGGAACACCAAUGGCGAAGGCAGCUUGCUGGGCUAUUGCUGACGCUCAGGAACGAAAGCGUGGGGAGCGAACGGGAUUAGAUACCCCGGUAGUCCACGCCGUAAACGAUGAUCACUAACAGUAUGGAGAUUCGACCCUCUGUGUUGUACAGCUAACGCGUUAAGUGAUCCGCCUGGGGAGUACGGGCGCAAGCUUAAAACUCAAAGGAAUUGACGGGGACCCGCACAAGCAGUGGAGGAUGUGGUUUAAUUCGACGCUAAGCGAAGAACCUUACCGAGGUUUGACAUCCCAGGAAAUCAAGCGAAAGCUAGAUGUGCCUUCGGGAACCUGGUGACAGGUGCUGCAUGGCCGUCGUCAGCUCGUGUCGUGAGAUGUUGGGUUAAGUCCCGCAACGAGCGCAACCCUCGUCGUAAGUUAGUAUGUCUUACGAGACCGCCUGGGUUAACCAGGAGGAAGGUGGGGAUGACGUCUGGUCAGCAUGGCCCUUACACCUCGGGCUACACACGUCCUACAAUGGCCGUUACAACGCGCUAGCCAAGCCGUAAGGCGGAGCGAAUCGCAUCAAAAGCGGCCUCAG